AUUGAACGCUGGCGGCAGGCUUAACACAUGCAAGUCGAGCGGGGUGAUGGUGCUUGCACUAUCACUUAGCGGCGGACGGGUGAGUAAUGCUUAGGAAUCUGCCUAUUAGUGGGGGACAACAUCUCGAAAGGGAUGCUAAUAACGCAUACGUCCUACGGGAGAAAGCAGGGGAUCACUUGUGACCUUGCGCUAAUAGAUGAGCCUAAGUCGGAUUAGCUAGUUGGUGGGGUAAAGGCCGACCAAGGCGACGAUCUGUAGCGGGUCUGAGAGGAUGAUCCGCCACACUGGGACUGAGACACGGCCCAGACUCCUACGGGAGGCAGCAGUGGGGAAUAUUGGACAAUGGGGGGAACCCUGAUCCAGCCAUGCCGCGUGUGUGAAGAAGGCCUUAUGGUUGUAAAGCACUUUAAGCGAGGAGGAGGCUCUUUUGGUUAAUACCCAAGAUGAGUGGACGUUACUCGCAGAAUAAGCACCGGCUAACUCUGUGCCAGCAGCCGCCGUAA
rnacentral:rRNA from 1 species